UCUACAUCCAAUGGCUCCCUUGCCACAGUUCGUCCGACCGAGCAACCCUGAUCUAGCCUCCCAGCGCAGCCGCGCUUGAUCCACCUCCUAGAGCGCUCCCGAGGCAUGAGCUCCUCCAACCUCACGGCCCCACUGCCCCCGGCAAACCUCACCGCCGGCGACCAGCACUAGCAGGCCCGUACCGCCCCUCUCUUCCCUGCCUCCUCUGCUCUCGGUCUCCCUCUCUCUUGUUCUGUGCUAUCUCUCUCCUAUAAGGAACACCCAUGGACCUAUCUCGCCGUCCAUGGAGCUCCGCCACCGGCCGAGUCCGGCGCGACCGACUAGAUCCGGUCGCCCCUCGUCUUCCCCUCCACGUAAGCACCUGCGAGCCACCCGGUCUUCCCGGAGCUCUUCACCGCGUCUACACCAAGUCCCCGUUAGAUGCCACCAUGACCCUCCGCACAACAGUUCCACCGGGAAUCAAACCAGAACGAUGCGUCGCAUCCGAAUCCGCACGUCCCGUGGCCGCCCACUUUCCCCACCUCUAUUUCAUUCGAGUGAGGAGGAUGCCCCAUCUUCCAUUGACCGCAUCGUGCUGUCCUGGCACCGCGCCAAUGCACGGGCCAUGAUCUCCCCAAGGCUCAGCCGCCUACUUCCUUCUAGAUGGCCCGCUACCUCCUCCACCUUUUAAUCUUGUCAUGUACAUAAACAGGAAGAACUAAAUAAAUGAAUAUGGUGUUUCAUGAAUAUGCAACUCAUUGCAUAUUCAACUCCACUUAAUUUGUAGUAUUUGAUUGUUGCACUUUGUCACGCCAUCCAAAACAAUAAGCUACGCUCAAUGGGUGACCAACAAGCGAUGCCACGUGUCUAGGAAAGUAUCGAGGAGAAAAAAGGCAACGAUUAAUUCCUUUCCUUCCGUGCGGAAGGUAGCAAUCAAUUCCUUUCUUCCCUACGAAGGCAGCUCACGUCUUCAUCUCUACCCCUCUCUAUCUCUCUUUCCCCUUGAGUUAGACACGCCGCUUCCUCCACCCUUCCUUCACAGACUCCCCGCCAUCGCUCCUCCCAAGCCUCGUGGUCCUCCCCCUCUCCUGAGCUCUCUCUCUCUCUCUCUCCCUCUCUCCCUCUCUCUCUCUCCCUCUCUCUCUCUAUCUCCAUCACCGUCGGGCCGUGCCCUCCAGCCAAUGUGCGGAUCUAGCCGAGAGGAGGGACAUGACUCGAGUAGGGCUAGUCGCUGUUGUGCGCCUGCUUUGUCGUCGUGGGUUUUCGCUGUGCUUCCCGAGAAAAGGAUUGGCUAGCGGCCCAGCCCCUAGAUCCCAUCCCCCGAUUCCUCUCCCUUUCCCUCAUCGACCGCCACCACCGGCGACCUUGCUGCAGUCGCCGCCAUCAACACCCGUACCAUCCCCAACGGCUAACGCUCCCGCCCAUUCCCUUCUCCAUACCAUCGGUGACUUCCUCCCCUCUUCCUCACACUAGAUCGAGCAGCAGGCUAGGAUCCGAUGCAGGCUCAGAUUCGGCAUGCUCGAACCGCUGGUUCCCAUUGAGGAUGCCAUGGACAAGGUGCUAUGGCCUUGGUGUUGUAGCCAUGGAUAAGGUGCUCUAGCCUAAAUGAUGCAGCCAUGAACAAGAUGUGGGCAUCAUAGUUUUUUCUGGCAGCCGAGAGAUGCCUGGAGUUCCAUUACAGUACGGGUACUCUCAGGUUGUUGCCAGGAUCAUAUGGACAAUAUGUACAGUCACGCUGCUGUUAUCCGCUUUCCUUCCAUUGACGACUUCAAAUUAUUCAAGGAGAGCAUGGCGUACAAGGAUGUAAGGUUUUUUUGCUUGCAUCCUUGUAGAUCUAGGAGUCGGUCAAUUCUAUUUUGUAUUGAGGGGAACUUUGUUUUCAUCAAGGUCUAGACAAUAAUAAGAUAUUAACAAAAGUAAAAUAUCCUUGGUCUGAAAGAAACAAUCCUGUUGUUAUAUUUCAAAUCAGGUUAUGCAUGUCCUUGGUCUUCGGUAAAUUCUGUUUCAAAUGCAGGAGAACAUUGUUUUUUUAUAAAGGAACAAAUAAUACUAAGAUAUUUACAAAAAUAAAGAAGUGCCCCGUAAAAUGGCUUAACUAUU